rfam:Chlamydomonas reinhardtii strain CC-503 cw92 mt+ chloroplast, complete genome.
GCCGGGAUAGUUCAGUUGGUAGAGCAAAGCAUUGAAAAUGCUUGGGUCACCGGUUCAAGUCCGGUUCCUGGCA